rnacentral:rRNA from 1 species
AACGAACGCUGGCGGCAGGCUUAACACAUGCAAGUCGAGCGCCCCGCAAGGGGAGCGGCAGACGGGUGAGUAACGCGUGGGAAUCUACCCAUCUCUACGGAAUAACGCAUGGAAACGUGUGCUAAUACCGUAUACGUCCUUCGGGAGAAAGAUUUAUCGGAGAUGGAUGAGCCCGCGUUGGAUUAGCUAGUUGGUGGGGUAAAGGCCUACCAAGGCGACAAUCCAUAGCUGGUCUGAGAGGAUGAUCAGCCACACUGGGACUGAGACACGGCCCAGACUCCUACGGGAGGCAGCAGUGGGGAAUAUUGGACAAUGGGCGCAAGCCUGAUCCGGCCAUGCCGCGUGAGUGAUGAAGGCCCUAGGGUUGUAAAGCUCUUUCACCGGUGAAGAUAAUGACGGUAACCGGAGAAGAAGCCCCGGCUAACUUCGUGCCAGCCGCCGCCGUAAUAC